AUAGUAAAGUUCCAUCAACAUUGGUCGAUUUAAUUCCGAGAAACACGAUGGACAAAAUGUGUGGAAGAAUAAUAAAAAUAAGAAAAAAAAAGAAACGUAGAAUAACAAUAUGUCACCCCAACUCCGUUGAGGAUGCCGUAACAAAUGAAUGUAGAUCGAUACAAAAUAGAAAAAGCAGAAAAUAUGUAUACCCUAACAAAGAAAAGAUCAUCAAUCACCAACUUGUAUAUAUACCAUCAUUUGGAUAUUAUGUCUAUUUGCUAAUCUGAAAAAAAUCACAAAAAGGCACCACAGAGCAUAGCUCAACAAUAAAUGGUAGCAUACUGAGUGGAAUGCAAACUAUUUUUUUCAAGUUCUGCGUACUCCAUGCCAUCCCUGCAUAUAUUGUCCAGACG
rnacentral:lncRNA from 1 species